CUACUCAGGAACUUAGAAGAUUUCAGUCCUUGGACUGUGUGAAAGUUAAAUCUAACAGAGAUCUACUGUGGGACUUAGAAAAUUUCAGCCCUCAGACUGUGUGAAAGCUCAGGUCCUGAGGACUCAGGAGGUGUGGAGGCUUUGGAAAGUCUUGGAACUGAGGGUUCAAUCCUCCAGCACAAAGGCUGAAGUCCAACCUCCUGAGAAAAACGGUCAAGAAAAAAACUAAAAAAAAAAUCGAAAACGACAAAAAAUAGAUAAUAAAUGCGCAAAAAAAAGAAGAAUUAGUAUCUGAGUGAGUAGCUCUACCUACCUUACCUCGGGGCCGUCCGGCUGCUUUACGGUUGUCAAAUCACAGCGCUGCCUCUCCAGAUUUCUCCAGAAUUCUCCGCCAACCGCAUCGUCCCCUGCCCAGAAUUCCCCAGAAUCACCCGACCAAUCGGUGUCCGAUGUGUCCAGAAUUCGCCCGCCGACAAAUUAACGUCCAGCGUGUCCAGAAUAACCCCCCGACCAAUCAAUGUCCAGCAUGUCCAGAAUUCACCCGGCGACCAAUGAGAGGGCCAGUCAGAGGUCAACCUCGGCGACCAGUGACAGCUCGAGCCGACCAACCCUUGACCCCGGUCGACGCCUGUCCCACCCCCCUCCCCUCCGAUCCCCUCAUUCAAACUUGUUUGUGGAAAAAUACAGACACCUGCUCGGAAACUUUUGCAUUUCAAGGUAAGACGACAUUAUAUUUAUUUAGUUUUUAUUAUCCUACGCAAAUGACAGCGUAACAAUUACAAGAAAGAAACGAUCGUAGGAUCCUUUGGUUAUUACACCGGCUGGCUACCCGUUUUUCACUCUCGUUUUACCGUUGAGGUGGUAUAGCAGUUAAUUUUUUUUUCAUUACUAUCGUUUUCUAGCAGCAUACUGCUGUAUUCCCAGACACAUUAGUCAGUACGUGUUUUAUAAACUGUGACCGCCGUUAUAAGUAAUGUUAUGUGUGAAUAUCGUCGUUACUGUUGUCAGUCAUUCAUCUUUCCUUGCGUUACUGAACCAUUCAGUGAGUAACCGCGGUAGUGACGUGAUUCUAACACAAUUAAGCUUUCAGCUGCAUAUGUACGUACAUUUUCUUAGCCCAACAGAACUACUUCUCAUGAGCUAACCAUAACUGUGAUUACUUAUAACGGCCCUUUUCUACUAUAACGUUAUGUUGUCCCAUUAGCUUAGAAUAUGAAUCACAUUUUCUCUUUUUCAGCUCAUGCACCUAUGAAUAAUAAUGAAAGUACAAUAAUACAUAUUAAUGCUGGUGACUAUCCUACUUCUAAACUCUGGCUGCUACAUUUGGUGUAACUUGUACAUUUCUUCUCUGUUAAUGGUAGAUGGCUUCCAAACAAAAGAAGCACAGAGCCAUGUCAGAUCAGGAGUGGAUGUCCCGUCUGAGAAGGUUUGGCCUUCUGAGGCAGGAAACAGACCAGCACCACGCCAGAAAAAGUGGCAUGAACUCUACCUGAAGAUUGAGAAAUGUCCGAUGCAGCUGAGGGGACAGGCGUCUCUGUUUGGAGGGACACAGACGUGCAGCUGUGGUUUCCAUGCAAAGAAGCCUUCCAGCUCUGUCCCUGGGCCUCCACAGCCAGGUCCCUCAGCAGCGUCGUCUACAGAGACAGAGCAACCACAAACAUCUGGACGAGCAGCAACAUCUGGGCAGACACCUCGGAAGCCUUCUUUGACUUUGGCAUCGUUCAUGAAGCCAAGGUUUGGAGGGUCUCAUGGUGCUGCCUUAACGCCCAACUUAAGUUUGGCUGGGAAGCAUGUUAGCACGGUCUCCAGCUCUUCUCCCUCUUUAACUAUGCCUAGCGCUGGUACGAGCGCCAUGGCAAGCCGACCACAGUCACCUGCCCGCAGUCCAAGGACGUUCAUCCAGGCCGUCUCUCCUCUCUCUCUUCCUCCCCCACCUCCGCUGCCUCUGUUCCACCAGCUACUGCUAGAGCUGAAACAUCAGCAUCCUCCUCAGCACCUCUCAUCCCUCUGUCCUCUGUG